CUUCAAUAAUUUCUAAACAAUAAAUAAACUCGUCUGCAAAAAAUCAUUAGUGAUGAUGGAAAAAAAGACCGAAUAAAGUACGAAGUUGAGAAGCAUUUAGGACCCAAAACUCAAAAAUGUUAAAAGUUUGGAAGUCUAAAGAUACUAGUAUAUUAAUGGGUCGAAAUAUUUAAUUCAAAAGAGCUUACUUAAGGGUACUCAUAACUUAGUUGGAUCCGUAAAGCCAACUUUGCCGAAGAAGAUUCACCUUUUUGUGUCAAAUGGAAAUUAACUAAUAUGUAUUUUGAACUUUGAAACAGAUGUACAAAUGCCGGUAGCUAAAUUUCUAACGGGCCAAGAACAGAUUGAGAAGAACGCAAUUGGUAGACUAUUUAAUAAAAAAAAAAACAAUAAUAUUCAACUUUUUUUUUAAAAGUCUUUUAAAA
rnacentral:lncRNA from 1 species